GGACGAACGUUGGCGGCGUGCUUAAUACAUGCAAGUCAACUGAAGCAGUGGUAGCAAUACCGCUGUGGAGGUGGCGCACGGGUGAGUAACACGUAGGUAAUCUGCCUUCAGGUCUGGCAUAACUCCGGGAAACCGGGGCUAAUAGCAGAUGAUGCAGCGGCUCGACAUCGAGACAGUUGUUAAAGCUAUGGCGCCUGAAGAUGAGCCUGCGUCUGAUUAGCUAGUUGGCGGGGUAACGGCCCACCAAGGCAACGAUCAGUAGCUGGUCUGAGAGGAUGAUCAGCCACACUGGAACGGAGACACGGUCCAGACUCCUACGGGAGGCAGCAGUAAGGAAUAUUGCUCAAUGGGAGAAAUCCUGAAGCAGCAACGCCGCGUGAGGGACGAAGGGCUUUUGCUUGUAAACCUCUGUAGUGAGAGAAAAAAAUCCCAAUCUUUGGGACAUGAUGGUAUCUCAAAAGUAAGCCCCGGCUAACUACGUG
rnacentral:rRNA from 1 species